ACGCUUCCUCCAGCGGACGGUAAACUCGUGGUGUGUUUCUUCUGCUCGUCUUCCUCUACGCCGCGGAGAUCAGCAGCACAUCAGCGCGUUACUGCCGCUCACUGGCUGAUGAAGGAACUCGCACAGUCCGCGCGGGCUCUGUGGUAAAUCAUGUUUUUCGAUAUAGUCCGGUCAAAAACACACAUUUUAUGGCGUUUUAGUAAGUUUUUUUUCUCCUCGUUGCCCAUUUCUUACUUGUGAUUUCAACAAAAAUAACUCAGGAUCAUUCAAACAGCCUCUCAAAACCAGCUGACUAAACCUUUCCAUGAGCUGGGGACACCCAGAUGACCCUAAGUCUCCACCUGAGGGAACAGCAUGCUCUUUGAGUCCAGAAAGUGGACAGACGGAUUGUUGACACAUUCAGAAUGGCCUGACUCACCAUUUCCUGAGAAAGCUCCACUCCCAGUGCUGAACUGGCUGUCAUUCAGAGAAGGUCACAUGUUUGUGGUUAUGUUUGUGCUGCCAUGUAGAGCUAAGGAGAAACAAAGGUUAUUCAUGUGAAGAAACCAAAAUAAGGAUUAUCCUAUGCUUUCUGUCAAAAUAACUAAUGACAUAACUCGGUGGGGUACAUUCCAGGAAGGGUCACCCAGCUUGUUGAGAAGCACCAGUGAGGAAAUGGAAACAAACACCAUAAGGGGUCAUCCAGAUUCACCCAAGCUAAUCCAAGUUUGGAUUUUACGACUGGCGUAGCAAUUGUGAGAGUAAUAUGUCUGGAUGUUGGUGUAUUUAGACAUACCGGAGGAUGGUUUUAAACAUAAACAUAUAUUAUGUGAAUUACAUUGUUGUCUAUAUCUGCAGAGACCUGCUAAGGAACCCCUGAAAGAGAGGCGCUCACUAUCCUGCAGUACUUCUGUGGGUGAUGGUUUAGGCUUGCGCCAAAUAUAAA
ensembl:lncRNA